CGGGACGGGGUGGAGUAAUGUCUGGGAAACGUGCCUGAUGGAGGGGGAUAACUACUGGAAACGGUAGCUAAUACCGCAUAACGUCGCAAGACCAAAGAGGGGGACCUUAGGGCCUCUUGCCAUCGGAUGUGCCCAGAUGGGAUUAGCUAGUAGGUGGGGUAACGGCUCACCUAGGCGACGAUCCCUAGCUGGUCUGAGAGGAUGACCAGCCACACUGGAACUGAGACACGGUCCAG
rnacentral:rRNA from 1 species